AUUGAACGCUGGCGGCAGGCUUAACACAUGCAAGUCGAGCGGGGGAAGGUAGCUUGCUACCGGACCUAGCGGCGGACGGGUGAGUAAUGCUUAGGAAUCUGCCUAUUAGUGGGGGACAACAUCUCGAAAGGGAUGCUAAUACCGCAUACGUCCUACGGGAGAAAGCAGGGGAUCUUCGGACCUUGCGCUAAUAGAUGAGCCUAAGUCGGAUUAGCUAGUUGGUGGGGUAAGGGCCUACCAAGGCGACGAUCUGUAGCGGGUCUGAGGGGAUGAUCCGCCUCACUGGGACUGAGACACGGCCCAGACUCCUACGGGAGGCAGCAGUGGGGAAUAUUGGACAAUGGGGGGAACCCUGAUCCAGCCAUGCCGCGUGUGUGAAGAAGGCCUUAUGGUUGUAAAGCACUUUAAGCGAGGAGGAGGCUCUUUUGGUUAAUACCCAAGAUGAGUGGACGUUACUCGCAGAAUAAGCACCGGCUAACUCUGUGCCAGCCGCCGCCGUAA
rnacentral:rRNA from 1 species